UACAGAGGUCUCAAGCGUUUGUUCGGAUUUUACUGGGCGUAAAAGGGCGCGUAGGCGGUCAGCACAAGUCAGUUGUGAAAUCUCCGGGCUUAACUCGGAAAGGUCAACUGAUACUGUGCGACUAGAGUGCAGAAGGGCAACUGGAAUUCUCGGUGUAGCGGUGAAAUGCGCAGAUAUCGGGAGGAACACCAGUGGCGAAGGCGGCGACCUGGUCCAACAUUGACGCUGAGGUGCGAAAGCGUGGGAGCAAACAGG
rnacentral:rRNA from 1 species